ACUAGGGCACUGCUCCACUCCAGAGUCAGAGUGACUAAUUUGAAGUUGGGAGUGUGAUCCAGCCAGACCAAAGGAACCAAUCUAGGAAAUCUCCAGGGAUCCCAUUGCUAAGUUAGGAGGAUGCCUUAACACCUUGUCAUGCUGCAAGGACUGGUCCAGAACAAUGGAACCCAUCAUAGGGAUACAGACCUGGAUGAUCUAGAGGGAAAUGAAGUAAGGACUAUAGAUCUACCCUAGAUCCAGAUAUCUCAGCUCCAAGCUGCCCAGCUGAGUAAAGAUAUCCUGGGCUUCAGUCAUUUGCAACUAGAAGAGGCCACACUGCUACAGCUGUAGUUGUGUGUCUGUUAAGCGAUGCUCAUGUGCCAGACAUCAUGAUAAAGGCCCCUGACAAAGGCCAUCUCCUUUAGUCCACAGGACAGUCCUGCCUCUGUCCUCCUUGUAGAUGGAAGAGGAUGCCUGGGCCUCGGAACUGUUACAUUCAUAAGCUUAAAUCUAGCAGGAUGACCCUGGGUCAUCACUCAGGGUUAGAGUCCAUCACGCUGUGUUGAAUGUGGUCAGCCUCAGAUCAAGAACAUUUGGAAUAAAACUGCAUCUUAGAAGACAGCUUUUAUUCGUCAUUAUCCCACGAACACUGUGUCUGUGACUCAGCGAAGAAGAAGAAGACGACAAACGGACCACCUAAAGGCUGGGCAUCUUUCAAAUCAGAUGCCAAAGCAGGGAGCUGCCAAGUGGAAGGCUCAUCACGCAGGUGAUUCACAUUGACACCAGAGUUGUUUGUUUUUAUUCAGGUGCUAAUGGAUGUGUUAAAGGGACAGUGUUGGCAUCCAAACAUAGCCUCAGCUGUCCUGAGUUACCAACACUAGUAUGGCCUGUCCACUCCCAAACAGGGUCAGCGAGUCGCCGCCCUUCCUUCUUAUAGGCAAGCUGGCAUUUGUCUCUCCCUCUUCCACUCAUGUUUCUCUUUGACUUCUAAGUGAAUAAAUCUAAUGAUGGGUCUUCUGCAAAAUGUUGAAGACAGUAAGAUUUUCUGCGGCUUGUUGAUGUGGAGGAGGAGGAGGAGGAGGGAGACCAAGCAAGAUGAAGAAAUCCCUCUUCCCCAGCUGGAGAUGUGUCCCAUGGGGAAACCCUGCAACUGAAGGUCGCAGUCUCCUCUGAGGUCCAGGCAAAAUGGAAGAUGCCCUUGACUGUCUCUGACCUUGUCUGGGGAGUCUGACCCCUCACACCCUCCCCCCACACCCUCUACCAGGAGAAGGCCUAGUAGUCCUUGGCAAACUUACAAGUUCAACUUCCUCUGCCACCAAGAACCCACCUGGCAAGUACCUGGGAUUCCUAAAAGACCUCGCGGUACAAAUGAGGUAUUCCAGGUACUUUUAAACUCUAGCCAAUGAAACUUCACCCUAAGGAGAACUCCUUCCCACUCUCCAAGGUCCAUCCAUAUAUACCUCCAAGGACCUCUCCAAGGUCCAUUAUAUACCCAAAAUAAAGGUAUGUGCCCAAGCUAAAA